GUUUGAAGAGAGUAUUCCAAACGCUUCUGUAAAUAUAAAGACUGAGAGAGGAGAGAGCGUGCCCAGUCAAGGAAGAGAAGGUGGCCAGAGCAAGGUCUCGAUGGCGGCAGGACACCAUACGAUGACUCCCGGAUAGUUGAAAGCAGAACACUUGAUCACUUACAGCUCCAAACCAGGGAAGGCUGCCACGCGGGGCCACACAGGCACCGGGGAGUAAGGCAAGCGCAAGCUGGAAUGCAGGUGGCAGCUUCUGGAUGGCGAGCAACGGGGGCACACCGCCAGCCCCACCCAAUCCGAGCAGAGAGGGCCCCAGG
rnacentral:lncRNA from 1 species